rnacentral:lncRNA from 10 species
UUUUGCUUUUACAAAUGAGAAAACUGAGGCUCAAAAAGGCUGAGUCAUCUUCCCAUGGCCACACAGCUAAUCAUUGUUCAGGGCUGAGUCUGUGCCUGAUUCUGCUGAGACCAUCAAGCCCUCAUCCACUCCUACUCAUCUCAUCUGUCUGAGUCCAUUGGGGGGCCUCACCGGCAUUCCCUGUUGUCUGUUUGGCUGGGGAGGGGAGUGUCUGGCAGCCUCAGCGGGAAAGAUGAGGGAGCAAUCUGAUCAAGACGGUCAGCGCAUUAUAUUGAGAGUGUCAAAGCAUCAGGCUUGUUUAGAGCCAGGAGUUGGGAUUAUUCCUAAGUUUUGGUUCCCCCACGGUCCUGGGUGGAUAUUUGCAUGGGGUAUGUCUGGGUUUGAAUUUCAGACUUAUUCUCGAUUUUUUAUUUCAGGAUCUAACUUGGCAAGAUGAGCACUCUGCCCCUUUCUCCUGGGAAACAAAGAGUCAGAUGGAGUUCAGUAUCUCCGCCCUAUCCAUCCAGGAGCCGAGCAACGGCACCGCC